GCAGGGUAGCAAUACCGCUGACGACCGGCGACACGGUAAGUAACACGUAUCCAACCUCCCAUAACUCAGGGAUAGCCUUUCGAAAGAAAGAUUAAUACCUGAUAGUACUUUUUCAAGGCAUCUUGAGAAAGUUAAAGAUUUAUUGGUUAUGGAUGGGGAUGCGUCCAUUAGAUAGUUGGUGAGGUAACGGCUCACCAAGUCUUCGAUGGAUAGGGGUUCUGAGAGGAAGGUCCCCCACAUUGGUACUGAGACACGGACCAAACUCCUACGGGAGGCAGCAGUGAGGAAUAUUGGUCAAUGGGCGAGAGCCUGAACCAGCCAAGUAGCGUGAAAGGAUGAAGGUCCUAUGGAUUGUAAACUUCUUUUAUAGUAGAAUAAAGUGAGCCACGUGUGGUUUUUUGUAUGUAUACUAUGAAUAAGGAUCGGCUAACUCCGUGCCAGCCGCGGC
rnacentral:rRNA from 1 species